UGGGGAAUAUUGGACAAUGGGCGCAAGCCUGAUCCAGCAAUGCCGCGUGAGUAAAGAAGGCCUUUUGGUUGUAAAGCUCUUUUGGCAGGGACGAUAAUGACGGUACCUGCAGAAUAAGCCCCGGCUAACUUCGUGCCAGCAGCCGCGGUAAUACGAAGGGGGCUAGCGUUGUUCGGAAUUACUGGGCGUAAAGGGCGCGUAGGCGGCUUAACAAGUCAGGCGUGAAAGCCCUCGGCUUAACCGAGGAACUGCGUUUGAGACUGUUAUGCUAGAGUGCGAGAGAGGUGAGUGGAAUUCCCAGUGUAGAGGUGAAAUUCGUAGAUAUUGGGAAGAACACCGGUGGCGAAGGCGGCUCACUGGAUCGCAACUGACGCUGAGGCGCGAAAGCGUGGGGAGCAAACAGG
rnacentral:rRNA from 1 species